rnacentral:misc_RNA from 1 species
AACCUAUAGAUUGGGCAAACUAAUACUUCAUACUAUAAAUUUAACAAAAAAAACCCUAGCAUCCAACAUUUUCUCCAGCAAAUAAGCAAAAAAACACUAAAAAUAAAAAUAAAUAACUCAUCCUUUUCAAGAUAUAGCCAAUGGAUGUGUAGAACUAAAAGAUAGUUAUGAUAUCAGCUCAAAAGACAAUAAGUGAAAGAUUUCUAGAAAAAUAUAAAAUUUUAGAAGGAAAGUUGACAAAGAAAGUGAGACACAAUAGCCUAAAACUCCCUAACCAGAAACAAAGCAUGAGGAAGAACGAUUGCCCCCAUCUAGACCUAAAAAAAAUAUAAAAAAAUAUAUAUAUAUUAAAAUAAUGCACCAUUACCAUUAUUUAAUGGUAAAUAACGGUUGUUACCGUUAUACAAAGGCCGUUACAAGUACAUUUUCUGCUUUUAAAUAAUGGGUGUUAUGGUAAUGGAAACCUAAAAAAAUGUAACAGCCAUUCAUUAAGACCAUGCUCCAUUCAUUGUCAAAGGCUCGCCUCGAGGCACAAGGUGCACCAUGCGAGACCCAUAGCAACUAAGGAACACAAUGGUGCACGACCUCCAGGAGGUGAACUAAGGCCCGGGGCGCGCUUCACGAAGGCUACCCACACCCAUGCAAUCAUAGAAAGUAAAUUGAAAAAAGGAGAAGAAGAAGAUCUAAAAAAUCAACUUGAUUGUAUCCUCUCCUAGG